AAUGAGGCUCUCACCGUGGAAGGAGAAUUAAAGAAAGUUGCUUCAGUUUAGGUCCUGUGGAUGGCUCACAGCCUGGAGAGAGGGCAGACUGUCAUCCGAGCUCGGCCGGUCCUGCCGUCUGCUCUCUCCAGAGAGCAUCCUUCAUCCUGAUAAACGGGCUGUGAGCCGAGCACGUGACCGAGCUCCUUAAGGCCACGUGUCUAUCAAAACCUCAAGUCACCAUGCUGGGAGCUGUGGAGGAGACAGAGACAUCCAAGAGGCAGGCCCAGCUCUCAUGGACCUUUCAGUGAGGCAUGGAAACAGGUCAUGUGUCCCA